UACUACGGCCAUGCCACCCCGAACGUGCCCAAUCUUGUCUGAUCUCAGAAGCUAAGCAGGUUCGGGCCUGGUUAGUACUUGGAUGGGAGACCACCUAUGAAUACUAGGUGCUGUAGGUG
rnacentral:rRNA from 1 species